GCCGCCUACAAUGAAAUUUGCGAAGUUUUUUCGGUUUCGGCGCCAUUUUCGAGUGGACUCGGAGCAGUGUUGAGAAAAACUGUGGAUCCUGGAAUUUUUCUGUGGAUUUUACUGGUUUUCUGGAGUGCUCUCCCACUGAAGCAGUGAUCUGAUUGUGUGGAGCGGAUGUGCCUGUGUUCAGAGGUGAGUUGGGAAGGUAAGCUUGUGUCCCACCUGCUCCAAAAUACCUGCAGCAUCUGUAUCCCUCUGGGUGAAUGCAUGUCCCUCUGACAUGCAUAUCCCUUGGGAACUGUAGGUAAUACCUUGGAGAUGUUCAGGUGAACUCAAAUUACCCUGUUCAGCUGCAAAUUUCUGAUUUAAAGUUGAGUUUCCAAAUCACAAACUAAGUUUGAAAGAAGCUGAAGUGGGAGAUGGGUUAUUUUGAACACGGAACUUUCUAUUGCAUAAACUAUUGAUUCUGUCAUGUCAUAAACGUGCAUAUUUUCUCAGAUUCAUAUUUCAUUGCCUAUCCCAAAUUUCCAUUUGCCCAAUACUUGGUGUGACUGUUGAUUUUCCCUCCGUGCUAGAGGCUGGUGAAGGUGUAUUGAACCCUUGCUUUGAAAAGUCAUCCUUACUGAAGAGCGCUCUUUCCCUUGUUGUUGAACUAGGCAAAAGUCUGGUUUAUAUAAACAUAAAAACAUUAAUUAAAAUGUGAACCUCAGGCACCAUCAAAAUGGAUUCUAUAGCUGAAUGUGUUUGCUGUUGCUUUUUUCUUUUGGAUUCAUUUGAAGAAAUGAAAGAAGUAAGAUUGCACAGGUACAGUCAAGUAAAGUUGUUACAGAAGUAAUUAAUGGUAAUAUUAUGGGGGGUGGUUGAUUUAGCUUGUACAGGCUUAACACUGGGUACGUGUUUGCUUUGCAGCAAGUAGCAGCUGCUCAUUAGGGAGUUGGUCCUGGUGCUGUCAGUGUUGAGGACACUGAAGUGAUGGAAAUACACUGCUUUUUUGUUGGCAAAUAUUUGAUUUCAAAUUUGAAGUCACUUCGCAAGGGUCACAAGAGCUUUUGAAAUUCCUAUUUUUGAGUUUGCUAAAGAGACAGAGACUCGGUGGCAUGUUGGGCACUAGGGGAUGGCACAAGAAUUCGAACCCAAGGUGGCAUUUCUGACAUUGUUCAGGUUUUCUUGUGAUGCUGCUUUUUAAGAAAAUGAAUUGAAGGAAGUCACAUAACUGGGGGUGGGGGGGU